rnacentral:tRNA from 1 species
GCCCUUGUAGUUCAACGGAUAGAACACCGGACUUCUAAGCCGGUUAUCGAGGUUCGAUUCCUCGCGAGGGCA